UUGUUGUUGUUGUUGUUGUUUUGUGCCAGAGGGACCAAAAGUUUGACACUUAGAAAGUGCUCCGUGGUCUCCAGUGAACUAGCCCUUCUCUGUGGUCUCCAGUGACCAUGGCUCUCCAGAGCCUGUCAGUGAGCAGAAAGCCAAGGGCAGUGGCCUCUGGGUCCCUAAGACACAAGUCAGGCCAUUUUCACGGGGGAAACCUUUGUCCCUAGGUUAGCGUUCAUUAACUCUCAGCUCACAGGCCGCCUGGCUCACAAGAGAUUGGAAGCGAGUGGUAGGAGGUGAAGGAGGAAGCGGGAUGAGGGGGAGGGGACACUUGGCGGGUGGGCAGAAGGGGCAGACCAGGGACACUUACUUCAUGGUGCACUUUGUUGUAGGGAUUUAAAAAUACACACCGAGGAAAACAGUGCACACAGAAUUAACCCCUUCACUCUUUACACUCUGGGCACUCGCCUCCCAGGUGUUGUACUCACACUCUGGGCACUCGCCUCCCAGGUGUCGUACUCACACUCUGGGCACUCGCCUCCCAGGUGUUGUACUCACACUCUGGGCACUCGCCUCCCAGGUGUUGUACUCACACUCUGGGCACUCGCUUCCCAGGUGUCGUACUCACACUCUGGGCACUCGCCUCCCAGGUGUCGUACUCACACUCUGGGCACUCGCCUCCCAGGUGUCGUACUCACACUCUGGGCACUCGCCUCCCAGGUGUCGUACUCACACUCUGGGCACUCGCCUCCCAGGCAUCAACCUGGACAUGCUGGUCUUACUCCUGUUAACCAAGUCACUGCAUGGAUUCUAUACCUAAGGUUGCAUAUUUAAGAUACUGACCAUAAUCCUGGGCUCACAGUCAGAUCUCAGGAAGGCAGGCAUUAGCUGAGUCUUACAGUGAAGUAAGUUUUAGGGGCCAAACUAGGAACAGUGUUGGUUUUCCACACAGGGUCAAGCCUGUACUUAACCCACAGUUCAAAUCCAAGCACUCUGGACAAUGAGUUUGUCUUGGAGUCGUGGCCAGAACCCAGCCCAUUUUGAUAACCAGAUACAAGUUCUUUCCUUACUUGAUAUUUCAGUGUUUCAUUUAAGAGUAUAAAGAUCUGGUUGUGGGUGCUAACUACACACUCAAACACACACACAUACACACACUUGUGUGCACACCUGUGUGGAAUUUCCAACAUAAGGACUGACUCUAGGAGUUUUAGAUGAAGGAUCAUGAGCCUUGGGCAUUUUAUGGUGUGUGUGUGUAUGUGUGUGUGUGUCUGUGUCUGUGUGUUUCUGUGUUCAGUUUUUAGUUUCUGUAUACCUUGUACAUGGACUACUGUGUAUGUGGAGUAGUGCGUAUACUGCAUACAUCAUGAGGCCCCUGUCACACAAGCGUGGUGUGUUGUACACUGUGAAUAUCCUCAUCCCCCUCUUCCCUCCCUCCCUUUAGUCUUCUUUGUUCCUCUAGAUGUGUUUCUGCUUCUAUAUCAUGCGGGAUUUUUUAUGUGUCUAUAUAAAAAUCUAGGGCCUACAUAUGAGAGAGAACAUCUGUGUUUUGAACACUGGCUUAAUUCGCCUAUUGUAAACUUCAGUUUUCCUGCAAACAGCAUAACCUCAUUUUCCUUUAUGGUGAGAAGGACUCCACUGUGUACCGGUGCACGCCACCCUCCUCUGUGGUUGGGCACCUCAGCCUGACUUAGGUAUUGUGAGUAGUGCUGCAGCGAACACUGCGAGUGUGUAUGUGGUGAGUUGACGUGGGUGUGUAUUUGAGUUGAUAGGUAGUAUUCAGCAUGAUCUUACUGCAGAAGACAUUGUAGACACUGAGUGUUUGAUCGCCUUAGAGACGUCAGUGGACACAAUAAACACCGCUGUGUUCUCUCUCCCCU